rnacentral:rRNA from 1 species
UACAGAGGGUGCGAGCGUUAAUCGGAAUUACUGGGCGUAAAGCGUGCGCAGGCGGUUCGUGAUGUCUGGUGUGAAAGCCCCGGGCUUAACCUGGGAAUUGCAUUGGAAACUAGCGGGCUGGAGUGUGGCAGAGGGGGGUGGAAUUCCACGUGUAGCAGUGAAAUGCGUAGAGAUGUGGAGGAACACCGAUGGCGAAGGCAGCCCCCUGGGCUAACACUGACGCUCAUGCACGAAAGCGUGGGGAGCAAACAGG